GAUGAACGCUGGCGGCGUGCCUAAUACAUGCAAGUCGAGCGAACGGACGAGAAGCUUGCUUCUCUGAUGUUAGCGGCGGACGGGUGAGUAACACGUGGAUAACCUCCCUAUAAGACUGGGAUAACUUCGGGAAACCGGAGCUAAUACCGGAUAAUAUUUUGAACCGCAUGGUUCAAAAGUGAAAGACGGUCUUGCUGUCACUUAUAGAUGGAUCCGCGCUGCAUUAGCUAGUUGGUAAGUUAACGGCUUACCAAGGCAACGAUGCAUAGCCGACCGCAGAGGGGGAUCGGCCACACUGGAACUGGGACACGGACCAGACUCCUACGGGAGGCAGCAGUAGGGAACCUUCCGCAAUGGGCGGAAGCCUGACGGAGCAACGGCGCGUGAGAGAUGAAGGUCUUGGGAUCGGAAAACUCUGUUAUGAGUGAAGAACAUAUGUGUAAGUAACUGUGCACAUCUUGACGGUACUUAAUCAGAAAGCCACGGCUAACUACGUG
rnacentral:rRNA from 1 species